rnacentral:rRNA from 1 species
AGCGAACGCUGGCGGCAGACCUAACACAUGCAAGUCGAGCGCCCGUAGCAAUACGGGAGCGGCAGACGGGUGAGUAACACGUGGGAACGUACCCUUCGGUUCGGAAUAACCCAGGGAAACUUGGAUUAAUACCGGAUACGUCCGUAAGGAGAAAGAUUUAUCGCCGAAGGAUCGGCCCGCGUCCGAUUAGCUAGUUGGUGGGGUAAUGGCCCACCAAGGCUACGAUCGGUAGCUGGUCUGAGAGGAUGAUCAGCCACACUGGGACUGAGACACGGCCCAGACUCCUACGGGAGGCAGCAGUGGGAAUAUUGGACAAUGGGCGCAAGCCUGAUCCAGCCAUGCCGCGUGAGUGAUGAAGGCCCUAGGGUUGUAAAGCUCUUUCGGCGGGAAGAU